rnacentral:rRNA from 1 species
UACGUAGGGUGCAAGCGUUGUCCGGAUUUAUUGGGCGUAAAGAGCUCGUAGGCGGUUUGUCGCGUCGGAUGUGAAAACCCAGGGCUCAACCCUGGGCCUGCAUUCGAUACGGGCAAACUAGAGUAUGGCAGGGGAGACUGGAAUUCCUGGUGUAGCGGUGAAAUGCGCAGAUAUCAGGAGGAACACCGGUGGCGAAGGCGGGUCUCUGGGCCUGUACUGACGCUGAGGAGCGAAAAGCGUGGGGGAGCAAACAGG